rnacentral:rRNA from 1 species
CUUUCCUUGAUGACGACUGGCGCACGGGUGAGUAACGCGUAUCCAACCUUCCCAUAACUACGGGAUAACCCGUUGAAAGACGGCCUAAUACCGUAUGAUAUCGUUUGCUGACAUCAAAUAACGAUUAAAGGUUUAGCGGUUAUGGAUGGGGAUGCGUCUGAUUAGCUUGUUGGCGGGGUAACGGCCCACCAAGGCAACGAUCGGUAGGGGUUCUGAGAGGAAGGUCCCCCCACAUUGGAACUGAGACACGGUCCAAACUCCUACGGGAGGCAGCAGC